GUUUAUCCAUCCAUGAUACUGGCCAGAAUACAGCAACAUACAUAUUUCAUAUGUAAGGCAGUGUCAUGUUGUCUACUAGCAUCAUCGCUCAUCAAUCCCAGGGAAGUCAGAAAGUCGUCAGCAGAUAAGGUCAAAACUUACCGGAUAGAGCAAUAAUGAAGCGAUCCGCCUUAAUGCUCCACCUAUCGUAUCCCAAGAUGUGGCUUGAUAGAUAGAAAUCAGAGCAGUUAUCAAGUUGUUGGUAGCAGCAAUGGCUUGAGAUGCCAUACUCUCGUUGUUUCCACAACGGCUUUUCGUAGCUAUUCGUAGAAGCAGAUUGACAGUGUUCGAUAUGUGAUGGGCAGAAACUGCAGCAAACUUGAACAAGCACCGAAAUGAAAUUGAGCAUAUCUUGACACGACUGAUAGGCCUCCGACAGGGCGGCCACAGCUUGCCAUUGGGCACUCUCUGGCAAAGAGUCAAUCAACAAUCGGCGAAUGAUGAUUCCUAGGCCCAAAUAGGAAAGUUGGAAUGAACCUAUACGAAGUUCUUUAGUACGAGCAAUGCACAUGACAAGGCGGAACACUCACGGACACCCGUAGGAAGGAUCGCAUCGCGAACGUUGAAUCGCAAGAGGUCCUUUGGUAAGGUGGAUUUCAAAUCAUCCAAAUGUUUGAGGAUUGCUUCAAGCCUAGCGAUGCGAGUUAUUGAUGGUUCUCUUCUGCCGACAGAAUCCAUAGACUACCAGGUCUCCCAACCGCAAACGUACUCUAUUACAAGGGUAAGUCGGCA
rnacentral:sRNA from 1 species